AGAUCCGCCUCGUGGCGGGUUCGAUUCCCACGCGU
rnacentral:tRNA from 13 species